rnacentral:rRNA from 1 species
AUUAGACGAAUCAUCUGGAAAGAUGAAUCAAAGAAGGUAAUAAUCCUGUAGUCGAAAAUGUUGUCUCUCUUGAGUGGAUCCUGAGUACGACGGAGCACGUGAAAUUCCGUCGGAAUCUGGGAGGACCAUCUCCUAAGGCUAAAUACUCUCUAGUGACCGAUAGUGAACCAGUACCGUGAGGGAAAGGUGAAAAGCACCCCGGAAGGGGAGUGAAAUAGAACCUGAAACCGUGUGCUUACAAGUAGUCAGAGCCCGUUAAUGGGUGAUGGCGUGCCUUUUGUAGAAUGAACCGGCGAGUUACGAUUUGAUGCAAGGUUAAGCAGUAAAUGUGGAGCCGUAGCGAAAGCGAGUCUGAAUAGGGCGUUUAGUAUUUGGUCGUAGACCCGAAACCAGGUGAUCUACCCUUGGUCAGGUUGAAGUUCAGGUAACACUGAAUGGAGGACCGAACCGACUUACGUUGAAAAGUGAGCGGAUGAACUGAGGGUAGCGGAGAAAUUCCAAUCGAACCUGGAGAUAGCUGGUUCUCUCCGAAAUAGCUUUAGGGCUAGCCUCAAGUGAUGAUUAUUGGAGGUAGAGCACUGUUUGGACGAGGGGCCCCUCUCGGGUUACCGAAUUCAGACAAACUCCGAAUGCCAAUUAAUUUAACUUGGGAGUCAGAACAUGGGUGAUAAGGUCCGUGUUCGAAAGGGAAACAGCCCAGACCACCAGCUAAGGUCCCAAAAUAUAUGUUAAGUGGAAAAGGAUGUGGCGUUGCCCAGACAACUAGGAUGUUGGCUUAGAAGCAGCCAUCAUUUAAAGAGUGCGUAAUAGCUCACUAGUCGAGUGACACUGCGCCGAAAAUGUACCGGGGCUAAACAUAUUACCGAAGCUGUGGAUUGUCCUUUGGACAAUGGUAGGAGAGCGUUCUAAGGGCGUUGAAGCAUGAUCGUAAGGACAUGUGGAGCGCUUAGAAGUGAGAAUGCCGGUGUGAGUAGCGAAAGACGGGUGAGAAUCCCGUCCACCGAUUGACUAAGGUUUCCAGAGGAAGGCUCGUCCGCUCUGGGUUAGUCGGGUCCUAA